UUGACCGUCUCCGUCGGCGAGAAUUCUCAGAGCACGUGAUUCGUGCGUAAGUUCUCCAAUUCCGUUUCCCAUUCAGCGUCGACGAUGCCGUGCCUUUCGGCCGUGGGGAGGUUCGGCCGUGGAUCGCUAGGUCCAGAUUUGGAGAUGAUACGGAGGGUGGGUUUUGAGCGCCGCGCCCGCUUUCUUCCAAGUGAAUGGUUUCUCGAAAGGUUUUCUGUCAAAGGUUGGGCGGUUGGCACUCCGGUCAGUAUCAAUUCCUUAAUUUGAUCGAGUAGCAAAUAGUUCGUAGAGUGGAUUGUGUUGUUCUUCGUGGAUUAGGUGCUAUCUCUGAACAGUCAUGACGACGGGGAUUCAUCGACGAAAUAGUUAAUCUUCGCAUAUUUUGGAACAUUGCCCUACGAUCAUCGAGCUGGUCUUCUUACGGGACGAAGUGGCUGUGAGGCUGUUGGAGUGAUGGUGUGGGUAAAAGACCGGUUGCAGUCUUCAAAUUUACAGUAGUAAUCUAAUCUAUAGGAUUCCAUGUUCUAAAACUUGUAUUUUUUUCUUUGUAGCUUGCUUGUGCCUUUAGUGUGAAUCGGAUAUAAUUGCUGAUAGAGUAAUUUUUGCCUUCCCCUGUUUUUGGUUACUCGGGAAUCUUUCUCUAAAUCAACAAGAAUUUGGAGGUUUCUCCAUUGAACUGGCCUUUGCGAUUUAAUGCAGCUUCAUUUCGUUCCUAGGUCCUAAGUUUCCAUUAACAAGGAUAUGCAAUAUCAACUCUCAUUGUAAAAGUUUUGAUAGAUGGCUUCAGAGUUGAUUGCAAUCACAAUGAAGAUUGAUGAAUUGAUGGCAGAAUUAAUAUAACAUCAUGGUAAUGGAAAAAUCAAGUUAUGAAGAAGGCAAACUCCUUUCAAACAUAUCUCUGACCUUCCAGGCAAUGACUUGUUGUCAAGGUUGCAAAAUCGGGUCAUAUUCCGCCAAUUUACAUUCACGUUGAUAACUAUGUGAAAUAGUAGGAUCUUGCUGAUUGCUGGGAGGCCUACAGUUUGCAAUCUCUUUCCAAGUAAAGAAAUAAAAAAAAAGCAAGAUGAUUUUUACAAACGAGGAAGCCAUCUUGAAAAGUUUGAGAAGCUGAGAGUCGGAAUUGCAUGUACAUCUUUCGAGCUUGCGAUGCCCCGACUGAAAUGGAUUUGUUCAGGUUAAUUAUUUUUCAUGGUGUGUGACUGCCGUCAUCAAAUUGUUCAACGCCGACCUGCACGCAAUUGCUGAUUUCGAGUCAUUUUCUGCACGAACAAUCUGUGGUCUGCACCAAAUGUCUCUUACGAUCAUGUGCAUGAAGUCUCUGCUUCUGCGUGAUUCAGUUAAGUCUGCAGGCAGAACAAUCUCAAGCAUGCAGGCCUUCAAGAAUAUACUUAGUUCACCUUUCUUCUGUGAAUUGGAGCUGUCAAGAAACAAAAGUAUUAGGGUGUCGUAGUGAUACCAGAAUGCAUGCUCUCUGAUCAAUGAUCUCAUUGCAUCUGGUUGAAGAAUGUUGACUUUGACUUCGACUCAUAGGUAGAGAUUGGAGAUGGAAAUAAUCUGGAGGUGCUUUGUAUUUUAUACAGUGGAAAACUGAGAGGCUCGAUAAAGGGAGAAAAAACAGAGAGCAAUCGGCAAAUAAGAGUAUAGCUUUUAAUCUGUUAAUAAGAAUGUUACAACAGAUAAAGAGAUGUCAUGGAAUUAGAAAAUAUGCUUAAAUUUUCAUGGGAAUUAUCUUUAUUAUUAUUAUUAUUAUUAUUAUUUGUCUUUAUUAAUCAAAGAAGCAUCCGAGCUGGUGAUCCAUUGCUGGUUUCAAACUUGUACAAGGAUAGUGUAUGUGGCCAUUACAAGUUUCAUUCAUACCUCUCUUGUUUUAACAUUCAUAUUCAUUUGAAAGAAAAGAAGAGUUCAGAAUGAUCAGUUUAGUUGAUAUUAAUCAUUUGUAAAUGUCAGUCACUACUGAAUUGAUUGGUAGUUUGAAAGUGUUGAUAGGAUUGGCAAUCCUAUGAGGUUAGAUUAAGGUAUAGAGAAUUUAUACAUAUGGCUUAUGACUUUAUAGUGGCUGAGAUUUAAAGAUUAAGAGAGAGAAAUGAGUUUUGAGAGUGGUGAACUUUUUUCAUAAAUCAUUGAAAUCCUUUGAGCUUUCCAAAGUCUUUAACUGCUGCUAAUCCAUAUUACUUGGUCAUAGAGCUAACCCCUGAAUACUCAUGAAUAGUGUUUUUGAUUCAAAUCUUAAAUUAAUAUUUAAUUAUAAUCAUAAUCAAACUCAAACUCCUAUAGCAACAUUAUCUCACAUCUGAGAUUAUAAUCUACAUUUGCA